CCUCAUUUCUUUAAAGGGGUAAAAAUGCAAAUUUCUGUGCGACUUCGAUUUCUUUGUUAUUCAUUCACUGGGAGGCAAGGACUGCGCUGGUACUGUAUGCUGUACCGAGCUGGGAGUUCAUGCAUGCUAUAGGAAAUGUGUUCUGCUUGAUUAACCUCAUGCUGACAUCUCAGGCUGAUGGUGGUGAGGCCUUCAUGCUGUCACCAGAAACAAUGUGGUCACACCGAGAUGGGUGACUGUAGCAGGGAGCAGCUCACUGAGCAUCUGUUCGGUGGGUGCUGGAAGACUGGUGGGAAUGGGGAGCAGUGGUGACAUUUGGGCUGCUUAGUGGAAAAUAGGAGGAUGUUCCCAUUUGCCAUCGCUUGAUGGGUGCAGAUUCAAAGGUCUCUCUAAGCUGCUUUGGUUUCAUAAAGAUCAGCUCCCAGGUUAGAAGCAGAAAUAGCUCUGGGAUCUGCGACGUACACUGCAUUUUCUGGCAGGCAGAAAUCAGGAGUUUUUCAUAAAUGUGCAAAAGGAAGCUGGGGCUUAAGGAGACCCUUCUAAUAGCGGAUGCUGAAUUCAUCUUAGAAGACAGCUCUGGGGACUUAUCUUCCAGCUAUAGAGGUCCCUGUCAGCCUGAAGGAAACAGAAGGAGGACAAUAAAAUGAGCUGAGAGUCACUUUAUUUUAUACCGCAAAAAUACAACAUGCUGCAUGAGUCCAGUCUUGUAAAACUGAAAAAUAAAGUAAAAAGGGUAUUUUUGUUGUUUAUAAUGGUACACAUGGAUUACAAAUCUCCCAAUGUCUCCCCCAGCUCUUGGUCUUAUUCUUCUUUGAUGUAUUUGUGUAGGCUGCUGCUACUUGUGUAAGUCCUCCCAAAACUACUGUUUAACUGGAAGAGCCUGGCACUUCAUAUUCAGGACUGUGGAGAGUGAUUAGAGAUCACUGAUUUUGUCAAGACAAAGAAUUAGUCAAAAAAGAAAUGUGUUUUGACAACUUGUUUUGCUGGAAAAAUGUGGGUUCUUUUUGAUAUUGAAAACAUUCAGCAUUGCAAUUUGAAAAAAAAAAAAACAGCAUUUUUUUCCUUUUAAACUGUGACGAAAUUCUCUUAUGUUUACUUGUUCUUCCUUUCUCUCACACUGAAGAAAGAAAAAUAUGUGUACAUACUUG
ensembl:lncRNA